rfam:Scardovia wiggsiae F0424 genomic scaffold supercont1.1, whole genome shotgun sequence.
AAGGUUUCCGGUUCACGCCUGCUAAAGGGGCAUGGCGACCCGGUUCC